UACACUUUUGGUGGGAUUGUAAAUUGGUGCAACCACUGUGGGAAAAAGUAAGGAAGUUCCUCAAAAAAUUAAAAAUAAAACUAUCAGUAAUUCCACUCUGGAUUGUAUAUCUGAAAAAAAUGAAAACACCAAUUUAAAAAGAUGCUUGCACCACAAUGUUCACAGCAGUACUGUUUAUAACAGCCAAGACAUGGAAGCAACUCAAGUCUCCAUCAGCAGGUGAGUGAAUAAAGAAGUUGUAUAUAAUUUUGCUGGAUACAGAAUUCUAGGAUGAUAUAUUUUUUAAAAAACAUUUUAUACAUUUCACUCCACUGUCUUAUUGCUUACAUAGUUUGUAGAGAAAUAUGAUGUAAUUUUUAACCUGCAGGUGAGGUGUUUUUUCCUCUGGCUUCUUUUGAGAUUUUUUUUUUCUUUGUCUUUGAUUUUCUUCAUUUUGAAUAUAAUAUUCCAAGGUAUAUUUUUAUAUCUGUAUAUGUCUUGCUUGGUAUUUGCUAAUCUUCCUUGAUCUUUGGUGUCUGCUAUUAAUUUUGGAAAAUUCUCAGUCAUUAUUGCUUGAAUUUUUUCUUCUGUUACGUUUUUUUCCUUCUCUCUCUGGUAUUCUUUUUAUGCAUAUGUGAUACCUCUUAUAAUUGUACCACGGUUUUCAAAUAUUCUGUUUUACCUUUUAAACCUUUUUUUCUCAUUGCUUUUCAGUUUUGGAACUUUUUAUUAACAUUUCUUCAUCCUCACUGAUUCUUUCCUUGACUAUUUCCAUUGAUGAACCCUUCAAAAUAUUUUUUCCUUUCUGUUAACAGUGUUUUGAUUUCUAGUAUUUCCUUUUGAUUCUUAGAAUUUCCAUCUCUCUGCUUACAUUACUCAUUGUUCUUGCAUGUUGUACACUUUUCUAUUGUAUCCCUUAACAUAUUAAUAAUAGUUACUUUAAACUCUUGUCUAAUAUUACAGCAUACUAAAUUCUGGUCUAAUAUUACAACAUCUCUGCCAUGUCUGUUCUGAUUCUUGCUUUGUCUCUUCAAACUAUAUAUGUUUUUGUCUUUUAGCAUGCCUUAUAAUUUUCUGGUGAAAACCAGACAUGGUGUACUGGGUAAAUGGUAUGAGGUAAAGAGACUUUUAGUGUGAGGUUUUGUGUUUAUCCGAUUAAGAGUUAGGCUGUCUUCAUUGUUUGCUCUGGCUGUGGGUGUCAGAAGAUGCUCUGUUUAUUGUCAGUCUUUCCUCUUCUACCUCCACCAAUGUGGAAAUCAUGGGAACAGGGUCUUUGUCUAUUCUAUUCUAUUUGUUGAUUUUUAUCCCCAGAACCCAUAAUAUUCCAGUGCUCAGGACAUACUUGGUGAAUGAUUUAGCGAACGUAUUUUGUUUAAAACUUGAGAACCCAGGAAAGUGAACCAUUUAAUCAGCUGAAUCUGGCUUAGAAAUGCUUUCUGACAGGGAUGAAGCUGCAUAAACCUUGUGAAGAACCUUUUUCAGAUUAGCUGGGUAGAUCCUUUGCUAUUAUCCAGCAAAGAGAGAAUGAAAAAGCCUUGAAAGUUCCCAGGAAUGUGGUGCUAUUUUAAGGCAAGGGUAUACACAGCUUGAGGGAAAAUUAAUUUGAAAAUGAGUUUAGGAACUUCAACAACACAGGUAAAAGGUGUUAGUAACUUGAAAAAUAGGUAAAUUUAAGAAUCUUCCCAUCUCAGGUUUAUGUUUAUAAUCAAGGAUAUUCAGCUUUCAUUCCUUGUUUUUUGAAAAGCAAAAAGCUAAAUUACCUCUUGAAUAUGAAAUGUAGAUGCAACGCGUAGAACAUUUUCCUUCUCUAGGAACAGACCUGCCAGAUCCUGGGAUGGUUGAAAUGUGGACUUCCUGCUGGUUCAGGCACACUGUCUUUGUGCUUUUUUAGGCUUAUUGUUCACUCCGAGCUUAAUGGGUGCAUUCAGGCAUGUAAUGAAGAACAACACCAGCACACAAACAAUUCAUUCAAGUCCAAAGAUAAGGUGAUUUUAUCAAUUAUAUUAUUCAGUAGAGUACAUUUGCAAUGUAUUAAAUAAUACACAGACUGAGUGGCAUUUGGAACACUGUCGUGUUGACACCCAUGAUAUUAACAGCUGUGCUAUAAAAAGAAAUCUCGAAUUGAUGGUAUUUCUUACAGUGGGUAUGAAGCUUUUGUUUCACCACUUGCUAGAGAAGAGAGGUAAGAGCAAUGCAGUUGUGGACUGCAGUUCCUUCUGGUGUGAAAUUCAUCCUGACUAAGCUAAAAACAUUUGAUGGCCAAAAGCAUGGGCUCUCAUAGCAAAUUAUUUUUAUUUUCACCUCCAUUAACCUUGACUAAUGGCAUGAACACAGGCUGAAAGGCAGGUGAACCACCCUCUAAGUUAUCCAAUAGUUACUUGAUCUAAGCAAAUCACUUUCUUUUCUUCUCUGUAUAAAGUGUGUUAUGGAGCUUUCAGAGCAUGUUCAUAUAUAUCUCACUUGAUCUUACAACAGAUGAGGUUAGCUGGUCAGGGGUUUUCACUUCUGUUUCUAGACAAGGGACACUGCAGCAUGGAGAGUAAGUGGGAAGAAGAACAAUGAUUUUAUCUCUAAGUUCAGUGCUUUUUAAAAAUUAUAUAACAGUGGUACUCUGGGUCUCAGCCUUCUCACUUCAAACCAAAGAUAAAUAUACUUAAUUUGCCAUCUUAAGUUGUAGGAAUGACAAGAGAUAAUUAAUUUUUUAAAUAUUCUGACUAGUCAAAGCCUUAUGCAAUUAUAAAAUAAUCAUUUUGCUUUUAAGUCCAGGAGCUCUGUCCUUAAACCAUAAAGCCUUCUUCUCCACAUUCUUCUACAGAAAAAAAUGUCCAAGAUGAAUACACGUGUAAAGCCCUGGAAUCUUACAUCUGAAAAGAUUUAGGAAUGAGCCCUCUUCGAGGAAGAAUAGAGUUAUUAAAAAGCAGUCAAUGGUAACUCCUAUUUGGCCCUCUCUCAGGACUUUUUAUCAAAUUAAGUUUUUUAAGCAAAGACUUUUUAGUUUGUUCCAAUAUUCUCUUUUCUAACUCAUUGAUACAGAUAUCCCUCUUAUUUUGGACUAGCCUUUGUCAUAUAGGACUGUGAUCUUCAAGGACAGAGUACAAUAAGGAGUAACUAUUUUAAAUUCCAAAACGUGUUCUGACUGACUCUUUUUCAAGAAUACAGAGCAGGGGUUAGCGAGCUUUUUCUGUAAAGUACCAUUUGUAGGACACAUGGUCUCUGUCAUGAAUACUCAAUUUGACUGUUAUACAGUGCAAAAGUAGCCAUAGAUAACAUGUAAAUGGAUGAGUGUGUUCCAAUAAAAACUUUAUUUAUGGAUACUAAAAUGUGAAUUUCAUAUAAUUUUCCUACAUCAUGAAAUAGUAUUCUUUAUUUUAUUUUUUCCAACUAUUUAUUAAUGGAAAGACCAUUUUUAGCUCAUGGACCAUGGAAAACAGGUGAUGGGCUAUAUUGGUCCAUGGGCCAUGUUGAACACUAACAUGGAGCACAAGAAAAGUAUUCAUUGCUACUGUAGACACUACUCUGUUCAAAUAAUUCUUUAGGUUGAAAAAUGUUUCUAGGGAGUGUAUUCUUACAACACAAACUUUCAGCACUGUUGGCACUAUCUAACAGUGAGGCUCUAGAAGUUAGGUGGUCAUCCUUGCAUAGGAAAAGUAGAAGUAUGUGCUGAUCAGAAAGUUAGAGAUCCCAGCUUUAUAUUCAAAGGAGGGAAAUUAAUUAACACAAUUUGGCAUAGAGCUUGCAAAAUCUUGGGGGCAAAGACAUUCUCACAGGGCUAAGUACAUUACCGCUCUCAAUUUGGUGCUCCAUAAAUAUCUGUUGAGUUAAUUGAAAUUCCCACAAAGUUCCUAAGUUCCUGCUUAUUAUGUAGAAUGAAGUGAACAUAGACUAUAAUUGUCUAUUUAGAAGACAAGGGGUUAAUGCAAUGAACUUUUAAGUAGCAGUCUUCACUGCUAUUUAGGAAGGGUGAUUAUGAAAGACUUAAAUGACAGUGAGAUUUUACAAAAGUGCUAGGCAGUAGGGCAAUGUGUGCACAAUAUCUAAAUGAUUAUCCAUUAUGAGCUUGAUAAUACCUGUGACUAAGCUAAUCUAUGGCUAUAAAUUGGGUAUCUAUGGAACCUGCUAAGUUCUUUUAGGUCUCUAGCGUGAAAUUUAAUCAUAAUGAAGCGGCUAAUUACUGCUAUGUGCUAUUAUCUUAGAAGUUCACACAUAUUCUCAACUCCGAUGCCAAAAACAGGUUUAGUAUCUAUCUCAUCUUUAGUUUUUUUUCAUGUGUGCUACUUUUACUUCUUCAACUAAUCGUAAGUUUCUUUUGGACAUGAUCUUAUAGCAUAAAUAAGAUAAUACAAUGAUUAAGAGCAAGGUUAUGGGGAGUUCCCAUCGUGGCUAAGUGGAGAUGAAUCUGAUUAGCAUCCAUGAGGACAUAGGUUCGAUCCCUGGCCUUACUCAGGAGGUUAAGGAUCCAGCAUUGCCUUCAGCUGUGGUGUAGGUGCUAAAUGCAGCUCAGAUCUGGCAUUGCUGUGGCUGUGGUGUAGGCUGGUGGCUACAGCUCUGAUUCAACCCCUGCCUGGGAACCUCUAUAUGCUGCAGGUGUGGCC
rnacentral:lncRNA from 1 species